rnacentral:misc_RNA from 1 species
ACAAACUGGCGCGGGCGUUAAAACGCUCGCCGCACAAACCAUGUGUGACCGUGCGUGCGGAGAGUCAGAGGCGCCGCGGGCGCCUUCUCUCCGGCGCAACACUAUAGGCGAUGAUCAUGUCAUGAACGUAUGUUAAGUAAUUGAAU